AUAAAUGCAAAAUAGCCAUGAGAAUGCAGACAGUAGUGGAUUGGAUUGAUGCAGGUGCAUGGUUUGCUGUAAGACGACUUGCAGAAUAAACAACUUUUAAAUAGUAUUUUUUGUGUGUUUGUCAGGAAACGUAAACUGCUCCUAACAUUCAGUACUAUCCUAUGUUAAGUAAAAAUAAUGGGACGGAUACAUCGCUCGGUUCUGAUUCCUUAGAUAUAAACUACAUUUGACAAUGUGUGAUAAGCUGCGUUGCUAGACUUGCCAAAGCAGCUGAAAACUGUAAAUUCUUACAUUUAUCUCUGUAUGGUAUUUAUUUGAAACCCCUCUUUAUUCAUACUAAAUAUUAAUGCUUUUAGGUUUUAUAAAACAAAAUGGUAGGAAUAAGCCACAGUUUUGCAUAAAAGCCUAAAACAUGUCUUGUAACUUUUCUUUUUCCUGUUCCUUCUCCUCAGUGCACAGUAAGGCUGCCCUUUAGUGGUGGCACACAGCACUACACCAAUCUUAACAAGUGUGACCCAUUAGUAACUGCUAAUCAAAUGAAUGGCAAUUUCAUGGUACAAAUAGCAAUGUAUGUACAUGGUCACAAUUUUUGUGAGCAUGUGUAGGAAAGAUUUUUUUGAACGUGUGAAUAAAAUCUGUAAACAAAUUAUGUUACACAAAGACACUGGAAACAAGCAUUUGUGAACAUCUGUGUACAGGCAGAAAGUAGUAAACUGCACAGGUUUAAUGUGAAUCAUACAUGAAUCUGAUUGGACAUUGGCAGUCCAAUCACAGAGCAGAGUCAAAUUGUCCAAUCAGGUGGUAGCUGGGUUCUUCAAGUUAGUCUCUGGUGGUGGUUCUGGAAGUUUGGUUGUAGUGGAGAUUCAAGAUGGACGAUAGCAGUUCUGCUACUUAGGUUCUGAUCUUCCAAAUGGCCAGAAACAAGGCAGCCGUGGCUCUGGAGCUCUUCCUUGAUGCUGCAAAGAAACGGUACUUUACAUCCAGAUUCAUUGUCAUCUAAAGAAGAGGUUCUUAACCGCUUUAAGAAAUGUUCAGGAGCACCCUGGUGGCCUAAGGUCUGACUCUGCAUUCAACUGAGGACCUGAGUUGCAUGUCUGUCUUCUCAUUUCCAGUCAUCUCUCUAUUGUCUAUCAUCCAUAAAAUGCCUGAAACAAUUUUACAAAAAGUCUUUGUGAUUUUUGCCUAAAAUAAAUAUCAAUGCAGCCUGUCAGUCAAUACUGCACAUUUAAAAGUGUCAAAAAAUGGAAGACCAUUGACACGAAAGCUCGUUAAACAGUGUUUCACCAUUAUUUGGCCCCAGAGCAGCCCUUGGUAUCAUGAAUCUUCACAGCCCCACAGUAUCACCACUUUCCAGCCCUAACCAAAGCAUCCCUGAAUCCUGUCCUCACCUCUGGUUUUUGCUUAAGAUAUAACACAGCCUAUAGUCUUAAACCUGGAGAAGGAUGAUGAAUCUUAUUACAGUAUUUCCAUGGUUUCAGGGAUUUACAGCUUUGAGUGUUUUGGCUGCAGAGGAAAGCAAGAGACAGCACUCCCUCACUUUGGGGAUCACUGCCAAGAACACAAAUUCUGACUUUACCCUUUAAUGUAAGAGGGUAGGUGAAUCAAAUCACAUACACUCAGAGAGGCAAGCCUUGCACUUCAGAGUAUUACAGGACAGACAGUGAAAUGAGCUUGCAGUGAUGAAGCCAGACUGUAUCAAACUUAUUCUUAAACCUAUGUAAAGAUGUUCAGAAAAAUACUACAGUCAGAUAAGAAAAACAUACAUUUGAAGAACUAACUAUAAUACACUAAGUGUUUAUAGUGGAUCUGAUUUUUCUGGGAUGCCAAUAUUUUCAGUUUAAUAUUGUUUUACAGAAUCAUUCAGUGAAUCAGUAGUCAAUAAUACACAAAUGUGCAAAAGAAUGGAAGAGCCAAAUGCUGUUUACCCAUUAUUUGGCCCCAAAGAGGCGGGUGUCAGGCUAUGCUGUCAUAAAUCUUCAGAACCCCACAAUAGGUAAUACCAUAGUCUACACCUAACCUACCCUUAACACAAAGGAUCCCUGAUGCCCUCUCCUCACCCAAGCAAAACAGUCACUAGGACUAGCAAACAUUUCAGAUAGCUCACCAAAUAACUAGACAAACUACUGCUUCCUUUUGUGCUGCAUCAGAAUCCACCCUAUGUUGCUAAUCACUCCAACAAACCAGUCAGACCUCUAAUAUGUCCUCUUGGGUAACUUGCUCAUGCUAACACCAGGUAGUAGGCCUCAAGCAUGCUGCCUGUAUCAACCAUUUUGUCAAGUCUGUCCUCCUAUGCUAGUUUACUUAGCGUCCAGUUUACAAUUCAAAGCACUGACCUAUUUUACCUAUUUUUUUACUCCAUUCACACACCUUUCUUCUGUUCCAGAGUCAGUCACUGGACCUUCCUGCACUAUCAGCUAGAGUCCUAAUUACUUGUCUUAGGCUCUGCCCUUUUAUAACCAGCUCACCUACUGUAGCAGAGAGACAGCUGACUUGGCUACAAAUCCCCUACAACCAACCUCCAUGGGGCAGAUUUUAAGUUUCUAGCCAUGCUCCUCUAAGUCUGUGUAUUUGAGUUUUUUCCUCUCAUAAGCUGCAUCUACAGCAUCCUCCCAGUGAACUGUAAGCUCCACAAAAUACAGUCAGCUGCAUUUCUGACCACAACACAACGUCUGGUCUGAGGUUAGUGCUGACUGUCUCCUCAGGAACUACAGUAUGAGCUGAUUCCCUAUUUACUUUCACUUGCCAAUCUCUCCCUGCUUUUAGCUGGCCUGCAUUUUGCCUGCACAAAAUGACUUCCUGCCUUUUUCACCCUCACAAACAAAAUGUCUUCUCCUCCUCCAAGGAGUUUACCUCUAAGUGCCUACUUUCAAUAGCUUCUGCUAAACAUUUCAGCGAUUGAUUACAGAGAUCAGGCAGACAGACAUCUUUGGUUACACUGCAAUCUGAAAUACAAUCAGUUCUAAUCUGAUUACAGCUGGACCAGAAUCACAGGUUUUCAUACUACACAGACUUUAAUACAAAGAGCUGAGCUCCAGUGAGAGAAAUCAUAUUCUCUUAUAUCCAGGCUUCUGAGUACACACAUGCACUGUUUGGUUAAUCCAACCUCAACCUGCCAACUCUCACACUGACAUGAAGGAGAGCCGAUGUACCAGAGUCAAAUUCCUUGUGUGUCUGAUGCACCUGGCCAAUAAAGCUGAUUCUGAUUCUGACAUUUUUGUGACUGCCUGACAGUAAUCCUGAAUUUACAUUUCUGUGUCAUGUCAUUUAUUCUCUAACUCUUGAGUAUCUUAAAAAUAUGCUAAAGCAGUGCAGGUCCCAGGGAGACUCCCUGCUGCUCAAAGCAGAUUUUUGAGUGGGAGGUUAUCAUCAGCCGCCUAACACUGCCACCAGCAAACUGCUGCCAA